rnacentral:tRNA from 1 species
ACAGCUAUAGCUCAGUGAUAUAGCAUAUGUCUAGCAUGUAUGAGACCCUAGGUUCAAUUCCUAGUACUGUC